rnacentral:lncRNA from 1 species
CGCCCCGGGACGAAGCUCUCGGCAGCUAGUCCCGCCUCAGGACCGCGCCGCCGGCUCCACCCGACCGCGCUCCCCCUCACGCUCCGGGCAACCCCGCCCCCGUCCGGCGCGCACACGACCCCGGGGGCACGGCGGUGCCGGUAGCGCCGCCCGGCGGAGGGACACGGCGCCACCGGUAGCGCCGCCAUGCGUUAUUCCGGUGCGUGAGCUACGAGCAGCCCCGCUGCCGACCACCAACUUCCCAGUGCGGGGGGCGCGAGACUCUCUAACAAGUCAACCCCAGCGCAGGGCGGCUUCCUGCUGUACGAGGGCUCCCGUCGCGCCGCUGCUCUCCGCCUUUCGGCCGGCCCUCCUCCGCCCGGCGCCCCCAGUGGAGUUACCUCGCCCGUCACCAUAGCCCGGCGGGUCGCUGUUGGCGGCCAUAACAGUUUCCAUCCGGGGACUGCGGAGCUGCGAGCCUAGAGCUGGGGGCGGCCGUCGCGGAGGGAUACGCGUUCACCUGAAGUGAUUAGUCAAAUUGCAAAUAUGUGCUGCUACUGUUUUGGAGGAACUGAAAACCAACUGCAGCUGAAGAAAAGAAUGAGAAAAAGUAGCAUCAUGCACUGCCCUAUUUCAAGGACCAAAUGCUGCAUGAGAACUAGAAUGUUGUUGUAUUCUUUUUCUUGAAGACAAAAGAUCACACAUAAUGCAUGAAGCUACAUAUGUGCCACUGGCAAAUUUAGAAGUUAUUAAAAACAAGGACUGAAUCCACAGAAGCCUGUUUCACUCUUUCAUUCUUUUUUAGAAGAUGGAAAAGUAGACAAAAU